GCUCAUGACGAGCACGACAAUGGGGUUGAUCUUCAAGCCAGGAACUUCAAUGACGAAGCUAAUGAACUAGAGCCAUCGCCGCCUAUGACAACGGAGCUAGAGCCGCCGUCUUCAACGAGACAACGUGGCUGAAUCGCAAGGAGAGAAUGAGGGAGAUGAGGGGAGAAAAAUAAAGGAAAAAUAAAACACAUCGAUUUCAAUGGGAGAGGAAAGUAAAGAAAGAAACAAAGAAAGAGAGAGGGGAGAGAAAGAAAAGAAAAGAAAAAUCAAUUUCAAUUGUGGGUAUUUUAGUCAUAUUAGCAUCUAACGUUUGUCAUGUCAACGUGAUCAUAAUCUAUUUGACGGAAUAAACAAAACCAUUGAGAAAUGAAAGUUUAGGGAUAUACGAGUUAAAUUUGAAGACCAAUAGACAAAACUGUUUGUAUGUGCAAAAUAUAAGGUGUCACAAAUAUUUAAUCCUAAAAAAAAAAAUCCAUCAGAUUAAUUUGGUGAGAAACAUAAGCAAAAUAACUUAUUAAAAAUUACAAAAUUUUUGGGAUAGCCUUUUUGAAAAAGAAUAGAGAAAUUUUAAAUACACACCCAUAAUCUCUUAAUACACACCUCUAUUAUUUUAUGUUUCUAUUGAGAUUUUAUAGGUAAGCUAAAUGACCAAAACAAACAUCAAUUAUUAAAAAAAAAAAAAAAUUCACGCUAGAAGUACUCUUUUCGACAUCUUCUACCCUUAAAUCAUCGAAAGCACGUCUUCUCCCUUAACCCUAACUUCUCCACAAUUCAUUUGAGUUGUCUUUUUUAUUUUUUUAUUUUUAUUUUUAUUAUCUGUAUCAGCUUUAGUUUGAUCUUGCAAAUCAUAUUGUCAAGUACUGCAUCUUUAU
rnacentral:lncRNA from 1 species